rnacentral:lncRNA from 1 species
UGAGAAUCAUAUUUUUCAUGGAAUGCUCUCACUCCCUCCUGAUAGUGAUUGGGAAACAAAUUGGAAUGAAGAAUAGAGAGCUGGCGAGAGAUCGCAUGAAUGGUGUGUAUCCAGAGGACCUCAGUUGUUUAUAGAAAUAUGUAGGUUAUCUACGGUGGUUGUUUCGCGAUCAUUUUGCUAUAUUGAUCAGUCUGAUGCUCUCUGGGCCCGUGAGAUUUUGUUGCCACAGAUCAGUUGAUCUUGGUUCUGAACUCUGUUGUUGUAACUUGUAAGUCUUCCAUCAAACUGGCAAUGUAUCAUUUUCACCCAUUGGUGUAUUAUAUUUCUUCCAUUCUUUUUGACCUCAUGAGACCCAUGUUUUUAAUUAGAGGUGAUUUGUUGGUGUUGUAUGCAAGGGAUCUGGAUCGUGAUUCUUCGAUUAGCCACGAGAAAUCUUGAGCAUUCUUGUUCAUAUCGUUUGUGUUCUUCUGGCCACCUUGUGUAAUUGCUUCAUCGUUGGAUUUCAAUUUCCUAGGUUUUCUCUUGCUGUCCUAUGGGCAUCAGUUAAUGUGUUCCCUGAUUCAAAUUUUAGUGAUUAAAGAUAGCAGACCCUGACUAGAAUCUCGAAUGAUUGUAUAGGGAACUAUGAAAAAAACUGGUCAAUUUGUGAAGGGGAUGUAUCGUUGGAAAUUCAAUUCUGCUCUUGAGCUCACAUGCAUUCGGGUGAACAAUAAAACAAAAUUUAGAACAUUUCUUAAUAGAAACUCUUUAUUUUGCAAUGGCCAUGUUUGAGUGCUCUACCUACAUGUAGAUUUUCAGAAAAAAAAAAGGGAAUUAUAUCGCGGUGCUAUGGGCCUUCUUUCGUGCUUUGCUGUUGAUCGGUCUACCCUUUGCCAUUGAAAUUGGCAAACACUUGUUGACGAGUGAUCAUCCAAGCAUAGACAAUUAAGCAACCUACAACCACCGAUAUGUAACUUGAAUUCUCAUUUUUCUUUUCUCGUACGUACAGGCAGCGAAUUUACAUUUGCACGUCAAUGCCUCCAGUCUUUUUUCCCCCUCAUAUACUACACCCAUCUCCAUCCUUCCUGUGUAUCAAGAAACCUCCAAAGAAGGAGAAGAAAUGAACAAAAGAAUGGGGAAAAUUGUACAGCCCCCCUCGAGACCUAUAACCUAUCUAAUCCAUUUACAUCUCGGCCGCCGUGGCAGCUCUCUGCUCCCUCUCCUCCCUCGCCAUCCGGUUGAGCUUGGCGAACAUCCCCACCAUGGGCGCGGUGUUGUAGGUGCACGCCUCCGUCUGCAUGUAGUUCUCCCGGUUGUCCCGGAACCUGUCACUCCGGUCGGGCCCGCCGACGAUGGCGCCGACGAGCACGUUGGGAUUGGAGCUGCGGCGGCCGUACCAGUGGUCGAACCCCUGCGAGCACCCGAUGAACUGCUUGCUGUGCUUGUACGGCACGAUAGAGGCGGCGCGGUGGUGCACCCUGGCGGGGUACUUGGCGCCGUAGCCCACGAGGUAGCUCACGCCCCUGGGGUUGGUGCCCAGCACGUAGUCCACCUGCGCCCUGGCCAGCGCCGCCACCUCGCCGGCGCCCGCCGUCUCGCCGCCCGCGCAGGUCACCGUCUCCACGCCGGCCUCGGCCAGGUAGUCGGCGUAGGUGGACAGCAGGAACGCCGCGUUGGUCACGUACUGCAUGUUGUUCCACUGCCGGAUGUAGAGCAUCCCGCCCGGGCUCCGCUCCACGUUGGCGUCCUCGCCGCCGGCCGCGUUCCGGCCCAGGCACGCGCACACGUAGUGCUCCGCCUUGGCCUGGUACCGCUCCAGCGUCCUCUUCUGCUCCGCCGUGUGCUCUCCCCUCAGAAGCAGCUGAAAUUAAUAAGAGAGCCAUUUUCGUCAGUGAUCGUUCACCUGAUGACUACUGUCUGCCAGUGCCAACCAUAGUGCGUAGUAGAUGCUGGCUUACUCUUGCGGCGAGGAUCUGGACACCGGCGUACUUGACGUCCCAGCUGAACUCGGUGAUGGCCCAGCCGGUGCCGCCGAAGUCGUGGGCGUUGUGGACGACGUAGUCGAGGUAGGCGGCCUUGCCGGUGGCGCGGUGGAGCCAGAGGGCGGCCCACAGCAGCUCGUCCUUGUACCCGCUCACCGACGCGUAGUAGCUCUUCACCUCCGCGAUGCUGCUGUCGUACUGGCCCCUGUACCCGUCCGCGAACUCGAACAGCUGCACGCACGUUCGCAAAAGCGAAAGCAAACAUCAGCCAACGUGCACGUACGAACACCCAACAACCAGUAAGAUUGCAUACACUAUCAUCAGUUUAAAAAUAAAAAAAUAAAAAGCCCUAAGAAUAAUUAAGGUUGCAUAUGUAUCUAUCAUUCAUUGAUGCAUUUUUAUAGUUGACACUUGAAAAGCAGCAGGUAGGUAGCGAGGCCAGUGAGUGUGAAUACGGACCGGUUCAAUUAGCACAUGAUGACACGACGACCGACCGCUUCCUAAUAAUUUCCCAGUUAAGCCGCUGGUUCAACAUGGGAUUGAACUGGCCACCUAAUCAUGCCCGGAGGCAGCAAAUGGAAAGUUCCCCGUCCACCAGAUAGAGGUUGCACGCCGGCCCCACACGGCAGCCAGACAGCCCCUACGAAACGAGCCGAGCCGACAGAAGAGAAAAAUCUCCAUUUUCCCGCCCGAUCGAUCGACGUCGAUGGCGUCGAGCUGUUGGCAACUUGGCAUGUGCGGCACAGGGCACAAGAAAAGAACACACCUCACACCACCCAUGAAAAGACCGGCGCCCCUUGACCAACGCCACCAACACUCGUACGCUAUGUUCCAAAAUCCGGUACGCAGACAGACUGGUACUACGCUGUGCUCCAAACUUGCACCGAUAUUUUUCUUGCAUUUUUCCACGCCAGACCUCGCAUGCACUACGUCAACGUGUACGCUGUCUGUAUCUAGAGUGUGUACCUGCUGGGCGUGGUGCAGGAGGAGGUGGGCGUAGUGCGGGUUCGACUUGCGGAAGACCAUGGAGGCGGCGGCCAUGGCGGCCGCCGUCUCGCCGGCGACGUCGGAGCCGGGGUGGUCGCGGUCGACCUUGUACGCCUGCCGCGACGUCGUCAUGUCCUCCGGCCGCUGCCAGCAGUAGUGGUCCGUGUCGCCGUCUCCCACCUGUUCAAGAAAAAGCUAGGAGAUUAAUCCGACGGCUCUGGUGCAUCAUGGACGACGACCGACGAAGCUUUGAAACAUAUGCACGCCAUGUGUGGAUGGAAGAAAAUAGUUUAGUGCUGCCGUUCGUUGGUACGUACGUUCAUCAAAUCAAACUGGCCGCCUACCUAACACGCUUGUUGUUAUUCACCAGAAAGAACCUUUUUCUUUUCUCCCCUAACCAGAAAAUACCACAUAUAAUCGAUAUUUCUAAAGAAAAGAUGUACGUAUAAUUGAUCAAAGUGCAACAAGGUAGCUAGGUGUGCAUAAUUGAAUUGAAUUGGUCUCUCUCUUUCUUUCUUGGAACGAUCACUGGCUUGCUUGCGCAACAGCUAGCUUGGAGCCGGUCGGUCUCAUCUCAUGCAUGUCAUGAUCGAUCGUAUCUGAACACAGCUACUCCCUCCGUCCGAAAAUACUUGUCAUCAAAAUGAACACAAAAGGAUGUAUCUAGAACUAGGAUGUAUCUAGAACUAUAGUUCUAGAUACAUCCUUUUGUGUCCAUUUUGAUGACAAGUAUUUUCGGACGGAGGGAGUAUGAGCUAGCUAUAGCUAGGGGAUGGAUGGAGGUGACGCAUGAUCGCCGUCGUCGGUCGGCUCGUGGAGUGCUACGUACCUCGGCCCAUAGCUCGUCGGGCUGUGUGUGCGCCUUGAUGAAGUAGUCGGUGCCCCACUUGAUGGCCUCGAGCGCGUGCGCGAGCUCGCCGGCCGCCGCGACGUCGUCGCCGUACUCGAUCAUGCUCCAUGACAGCAUGGUGACGGUGAAGGCCAUGGGCAGGCCGAACUUGACGUGGUCGCCGGCGUCGUAGUAGCCGCCCACCAGGUCCACCCCCUGCUCCAGGCCGUCGGUGAGGCCCGAGUGGUCGCGCCACGGUACCCGCUGCCCGUGCGGCAGCCGCCCCGACCGCUGCGCCUCGAAGUAGAGCAGGCUCUUCCGCAGCGCCUCCUCGUAGUUGUGCGCCUUGCCGUCGCCGCUCCCGCUCUUGCUCCCCUCCGCCGCCGCCGCGAUCAGAAGCAGCACCAGCAGCGACACGGCCCCGAGACGGCGAGACAAGAUUACGGCGGUGGCGCCCCCUGAUCUCAUUGCGCAAGAAGGUGCUCCUCGGAUUGUUGGUGUGCCUUCCUCGCUUGUGCGUGCCCCGGGCGCGCCCUGUGAUCACCGCUGCGCCGCCCUCUGCCGGCUCUGCUAGCUUUGCCUGUGUGCGAGCGUAGGUGUUUGUGUUAUCUCUCUCCCGCCGUUGUGCGUUGUGUGCUGUGUGGCGAGCAGGGCGGGGCAGUGUCCUCCGACCUGAGGCCGUGGCCUGGCGCGCUUAUAUUCGCGGCCGGCGUCCGGGUCCAGCACACGCACGCGCACCGCGUUGAACCGGUUCGGCGGCCGGGCCGCGCCGGGGGAAUAUAAAACUCUAGAGAUAGGAGUAGAUAGCAGGAGAGGAGCAGGCAGGCAGGAAAGAAACGAUGCAAAUAUGAGGGAGCGAAGCUGCGUUUUGGAGUUGGAGGGGGUGGACUCGUUCGGGUUUUGUAUCGUUUGUUUGGUGAGGCAGGGGAGAUUGAAACAGAUGGUUGGGUUGGGUUUUGGGUUAGCGACGACGCACGCAAGCGGAGCAGAUUUUGACCGGGACGCGCGUAUACGUGUAGCGCGGCCGGGGCUUUUCAGAGCGCGCGUACACGUGAGUCGGUUGGGGCCAGCCGGGCACGUACCGCCAGGUACCAACACAUGGCCGAAACACGCGUGCGACCGGCGUAGUUCCUUCGGGCCAAGUCGCCGGUCGAUCGACUGGCCGGCCGGUGGCCUGUAACAGGCUUUCAUUUCGCCGUGAAAUCUUAGCAGGCAAGCUAUCUAGGUCAGGCGGCCGGUCUGGUAAGAGCAAGUACAAUAGAGCCGAGUCGGCGGGCUAUAAAAAAUAAACUAGUAUAUUUCUGCUUAGUUGGAGGAAAGAGAAGGUAAGCGGGCUCUUCGUGAAGAGUCAGCUCUAGCACGUGCUCUUAGGCACUUUGUGAGAAUGAAAGAUGGGUCACAUAAUAAAAAAAUAGUACAAUCUUUUAAUCUAUUAUUGUACAUGUUGGCUAUAAGAUAAGCUGUAUAUGACAUGACACUGGCUUAUAGCCAGCAGCUGGCUAUACUAUUAACCAUGCUCUAAAAAGACUCGUAUUUUUCUCUCUCUCUCUCGCUACCUCCCGUGGAAAAACAUACUCGGUAGUUAUAAGUGGUUGGCUGAAGUACGUUUAACUAUAGGCAAAUUAUAAGCUUUGUGUGUGCCGUGAGAUUAUUGUUCCGGCCGGGCGCCGGGGCAGGGCAUGUUUUGUCGGGGGCGAGCAUGUUUCUCCACGAUCGGUUGGUCAAUCGUGUAGUCAGCUGACGGUUGCACCAUGUUUCGCGAUGAUAAUACAGCACUACAUGCAUCCACCACUAGAUCGAUUGCUAAUUCUAGCAAGAUGAUUAUUAGGUUGGGCUAGCCAGGUACUACUAUCAAUGAUCAACAAACUGUAUAGUACGAGCUGAUUAAGCUGCACCAUAUAUUCUGCAAAACGAAUAUAUGUACAUGCAAGUAUACAGGGCUAGCUUCUUCUACAGGCAUACGUCCUUUCCCCAUCUGCUCUCGUGCGUGUACGUGAAAGCGAAAGGUGACCCCCUUUUCCCCGUGGUGAAAGUGAAAAUAGCGAUUCGUUUCCCCGUGGCCGGACAGGGACUCCCCGGCGGCAACGAUUUGAUGCCUCCCUUUUCUUCCACCGGCUGCGCAAUCCUAUUGCCAGCCUAGACCCUAGAUACAUGCAUGGGUACAUCUAUCUGGUACUGGUAGGCAGGUUCAUGGAUAGAUGCACGGUUUAUACAACGAUAUGUGCUUUGCCAAACCGUAAACUACUGCUAGACUAGUACCCGAUCCCUUGGAAACUUCUCCGGUAGCUCUCUCCGUCUCUCCCAUGUGGCGUAGUCAACCAUUGUUCCUCGGAGAGGGCCAACUGAACCACCGCAUUUUGACCGUGCUCUGGCACCGCACGCACUCGUCUAAUAAGUCUUCGUCGUUUUCUAUUGCUCGUCGAAGAAAAUUAAAGAUCUAGACGUAUGUAUCGAUUACGAUGUGCUUAAUGUAUGUGUGUGUGAGAUGCUAUGGUCACUAGUUUCCUCUCUACUAGCUAGCUCAACCGGUUCCGUUUUCUAGGUGCUUCUUCUUCUCCUCGUAGCUCAACCAGACGUCUGGUUUGUCCAAUUUUCUCGUGCGGUUGGGAAGUCCUACUCCCUCCGUAAACUGUUCUGUCAAGCAAAGGCGGGAAAAUUGAAGGAGGCUACUAAGCUAACACCACCUCAUCGCCCUCCUUUUGUACGUGGUUAGAUCACUAAUUAAUGGCUGCCUUUUGGUGGCCGAUGAUGACGUUGAUAUGUAUUUGUGCCACGGAUUUUUCGUGCCCUUGAGAUUACUUUUUUUCAAUUUGCUAGCUAGUAGUAGUUCUCAUAUAUUUUUCUUUCUAGACUAAGAUCCAGUGACGGAGGUUGAUUGAACCAAUGACCUACCUCUUGUUGGGGUGAUAAAGACUUUCUUGCUUCCGAAAUCCUUUUUGAGAGGGUACCCUUUUUCCUUCGUCGUUUUCAAAUUCCAGUGCGAUGCCACUAGCCAGGUGUACGCAACUACACAAGCAAGGUCCACCUCACGUAUGCAAGGGCAGUAUAGUUUCUUUCAUGGUUUAUGAUUUAUAUAUGUUUUCUUUGAAAUCAUGAACACACACAUAUAAAGGUAUGAUGACGUUGAUGGGAAAUUUAGUCGCACCGCUUCACCAGACCAUAGUUUGCCUAUCUUAAUCGUAACCAGGUUUAUUUAUUUAUGUAUUUCUUUUUGUGACAAUAUUUAUUUAUAUAUUUCAACGAUUUGUUGGACAAGUACUUGCAUAAUUACAUAUCAGAAACCUGUUGGUUAGGUCCUCCUCAGGUAUGCAGGGACACUAUAGUUUCUUUCAUGGUUUGUGAUUAAUGUUUUCUUUAUCGUGAACGCACAUAUAAAUACGAUGACAUUGAUCAGGAAUUUUGUCGCACUGCUUCACCAACCAUACACUUGUUUGCUUAUCUUAAUCGUGACCAUGCUCAUUUAUUUUUAUAUUUAUUUUUGCCAAAAUAUUUAUUUAUACAUUUCGACAAAAAAUCUGAUCAAUGUCUUUUGGUUUCUCUUGUUGAUUUGUGGCCUGCAUAAAAAAAGAGAGCUAAAGUAACUUUUUUUUUCUGAUUGUGAAAAGAAGGGUUUGAUUUGAUUUUUCCACAGCUCACAACUCGGUAGUGAUUUUCAUGAACCAUUUGUAUCUAGAUACAAUGAUGAGUCAUCUAAAUGUUUUUUUUAACCGGGCUUUUCGACCCCUUUCCAUUGCAUAGAACGGAAAUACAUCAGUCCCAGAAACAUGUUCAGAAAGAAGGGAAAGGGGAAAAGCGAGUUCAAGCACUACCAGGAAACCCACCACACUCGCCCGACAUCGUGACGAGUGCUAUGGGGCGAAAACCUGAGCAGCACCAAUAUUCAUAAAGUCUGACUAGUUAUUACAAAACCGAUCUGCUGGGGACCAAAUUGACACUACCAGACCAAAAUAUCAUGCUACUCGAAGCAACGAGGUGCAGCAGGCUUCAGACUUCGGAGUGGAUCGCCCAGAAGGUCACUCUCCGGUGAUCGGCUGCCUGGCCGCCUCGCACAGCUUCAUCAUCUGCAUGGUCCCUGCCCUGAUCUGCUCCGCGCCUGUGCGUAGCCUCUUAGCAUCCUCUCCGUGCUGCAGACCUGUCCAAUAGAGCAAGAAAGAGCACAUGGAAAAGACUAUCUCAAAAGGAGUUUUGAUCAUUUUCUUCUCAAAGGUGGCUCGAUUUCGGGCCAGCCAGAUAGCCCAGCAGGCAGCUGCCAGGCCCACCGUAUAAAAUUUCUCUCCCCCAGGAAGAAAAGCAUGGCACCUCGCAUAGUACUGCCAGUAAUUACUGGGGCAUCUAUCAGUACCCAGCACAAUCCCAACGGAUCUCCACAGACAUUUCGCCACAGGGCAGGUAAAAAACAAAUGUCUCGAACUCUCAAUCUCGUUACAAAAGGAACAACAAGGAUUACCAGGCCAUCUCCUACCACGCAUAACCUGUCUAGUCAGCACAGCAUCUUGCGACAUCUGCCAGAGGAAGAUUUUUAUUUUAAGGGGAAGUUUGGCUCUCCAGAUCCAUCUAUAGUGGCAUCCGCUAAUCGAUCUCUCCAGCCACUUGUAGACCGACUUAGUCGAGAACUUACCGUUUUGGUUGAGCCCCCAGGACACCCAAUCGCUAGUAGCGGUUAGCGUAAGGCCAUCCACCGUAGCUUGGAUCGUCUUCCAUUGCUUAGACAGUUCGGCACUAAGCCCCCGUCUGAAGAAAGUGUUAGUAUCCACUAGCCGCACCCUACUCACCGUGCAUUCAGGAGCAGUGCAAAUAGAGAAGAGUUGUGGGAAUUGCUCCCUAAAGGGGGGCAGCCCUUUGAUAGGAUCCAUCCACACCCAGGCAAUAUUACCAGAUUCGAUGUUAAUCUUCCUCCCCACCAGGUAAACUUCCUUUACCUUCAGAAGAGCUUUCCAGCAUGGUGAAUCAGAAAACCUCGCACCCACCUCAGUAACAGUUUUGUUUCUAAGAUAUCUAGCACGCACAAUAUCCUGCCACAACCCGUUUUGGGUCUCCAGCUUCCACCACCAUUUGACCAUUAGACUAAUAUUUUGCUUUCUGAGGUCUUUAACCCCCAGCCCCCCUUUGUCUCUGGAUCUACAGAUCCUAUUCCACCUGACAAGAUGAUAUCUACGCUUUUUAUUACACCCUUGCCAGAAAAAUCUACGUCUAUGCUUAUCCAGCUUUUCAAUGAAAGUUUUAUUCAUGAGCCACAUAGACAUGUGAAAGAUGGAUAGCUGAGUAAGCACCGAGUCAAGUAGAGUGAGUCUACCGCCCAUGGAUGCGGCGUUGCCAAUCCAGGCCUCAAAUCUUUUAAGAUAUUUGACAACAAUGAAUUCCCAGUCAGAGUUUCGGAGAUUGGUGUAGCUCACAGGCAUCCCUAAGUACUUAAUAGGGAAACUCCCUAUGUCACAGUUAAAUAACUCAGCAUAUUGCUUAACCACAUUGUCAUCUCCACCCACUGUGAGGAUUUCACUUUUUUGAAAGUUCACCUUGAGACCGGACAUCAUUUCAAAGGUGUAAAGCAGCAACUUCAGGUUAACUGCUUUAUCAACAUCAUGCUCUAAACAGAUGAUAGUAUCGUCUGCAUACUGCAGCACCGCGACCCCAUCCUGAAUCAGAUCAGAGGCUAAUCCCGUGAUUAGCUUAUUCUUCUGGGCAUUUUUAAUCAUUUUGGUCAGACACUCCACUGCAAGAUUAAACAAGAAUGGAGAGUGUGGGUCACCCUGCCUCACACCCUUUGCACUCUGGAAGUAGGGGCCCACACUAUUAUUGAGAUUAAUGCUAACUGUGCCCUUAUGGAGAAUUUGUUUUACCCAACCGCACCAGGUUUCAUUGAAACCAUGCAACUUAUGACAUUCCAGGAGGAAAUCCCAGUUAACUUUGUCAUAUGCCUUCUCAAAAUCAAGCUUAAGCACUAUGCCAACUCUUUUUUUAACAUGAGUGUAAUUCAAAAUUUCAUCCAAAGAGAGCACCCCAUCCAUAAUGUUUCUACCCUUAACAAACGCAUUCUGGGUGGGGCUAAUCAGCUUAUCAGCAUACACCUCCACCCUGCGGUCCAUUACCUUAGUAAUGAGUUUAUAUGGGCACCUCAAGAGACAAAUUGGCCUAAACUGCUGAAUCUUGUCAGCUCCCGACACUUCGGGUAGUAAAGUGAUCACUCCAUAAUUAAGACGUUGAACAUCAAGCGUCCAAUUAUGAAAGUGUCUAAAAAGGGACAUGAUAUCAUCCUUUACUAUAUCCCAACAUAUUUGAUAAAAUUCGACAGAAAUGUUAUCUGGUCCAGGUGCCCUGUUGGUGGCCAUAGAGAAGAGGGCAUCUUUAACUUCAGUUUCUGUGAAUUCGCGACAAAGAUCUCUAUUGUCAUCCUCACUCAGCUUUUCACUCUCGGACCAAGUAUUAGGAUCCAAGUGAAACUGAUUGCCCUGAGCUGGGCCGAAGAGGUCCUUAUAGAAAUCAGUAGCAUGGUCAAUCAGGUUAUCUGUACCCUCUAUUUCCACCUCGCCGGCUUUAAGAGAGUGGAUAGUAUUUUUACGCUUACGCCCGUUGGCAAUUUUAUGGAAAUAAUCAGUGUUCAGGUCACCUUUGAGUAGCCAGCGUUCGUGGGAUUGCUGGAGCCAGUAAAUUUCCUCAUUAACCAAAAUCUCAUGGAGUUCAAAACACACAUCGAUUUUCCUGCUAUACAGCUCUGGGGUAAGGGGGCCAUCCUCCUCUAGUUCUUCUAGCGUGGCUAACUCGAGCCUAAGUUCCUCCUUCAACCUUUUAUUGUGACCAAAUUUGUCUGAGCCCCACCCCUUAAAAAAGGUCUUGAAACACUUCAACUUAAUAUUCAGGAUAUCGAUGGGAUCUUUAGAGAAGACCCCUCGAGCCCAGAUUUUACUGACCAAAGGAAGGAAGCGAUCGUCCUUGAUCCAAGAAAGGUCAAAGCGAAAUUCGCGAGGUUUGGGAGCCUCUCGUCCCUCUUCCUCAGAGUUAAUCAGCAAAGGGUUAUGGUCCGAGAUCUCUCGAACCAAUUUCCUAACAGAAACCAGGGGAAAUAAUUCCUCCCACUCCUCAGACAUCAGGACACGAUCAAGCUUCUCCAAGGUAGGGUGAGCUUGAUUGUUCGUCCAAGUAUAUUUAUCCCCACUAAUAUGAAUCUCUCUAAGGGCCAUGGUGUUAAUAAUAGAAUUGAACAGGUUAGUGGAUUUAUGGCUUGCCAUUUUUUUGUUUUUCUCCCCAGGGUGCGUGAGAAUAUUGAAGUCCCCACCCACUAUAUAAGGGACUUGCAUAUUAUGACACAUAGUAGCAAGCUCAAGCAAGAAUGCCUCCUUAUGUUCUUCGUGAGCAGAGCCAUACACUAUCAACAGACCCCAGUUGGUUUUUUUCCUUUUUGUCCCCAACCACUAACUGCAAGAUAUACUUGCCUUUGUCACAUGUAACCACUUCCAGGGUGUCCUGUCUAACUCUACAUAGGAUACCUCCAGAUUUGCCAACAGAAGGGAUCCAGUACCAAUUGAACGAGUUAAAGGGAUCAAUUCUCCUCAAACAUUUGGGAGAAAUUUUUUCUUUCAUGGUCUCUUGCAGACCCAGGAAAUCUAGGGAAUGGUCACUGAUAAGGUCAGAGAGGUAGGUGGCCAUCCCUUUCUUGCCCACCCCUCUGCAAUUCCAGAUGAGCCCUCUCAUCUAGAACGUUUUUUAUGGAAUUUGGACUUAGUAGCCCCACCAGGAGGCAUGGCAGGGCUACAAUUUUCACUCCCCUCUGAAACCUUUCUUUGGCUUCUAGUCACAGGCCUAGAAAGCUUGACAACAGGUUUCUUCGGUGUUUUCUUCUUAGGUUUACCAGGGGCCAUCCUGUCAUGGAUGACCUCAUCCUGGUCCAGCCAGGUGAGGUUCACUGGGGCUUUUUUACCCAACCCAUUAGUAACGAAAAUAUCAUCCUCACCACUUUGAUAUAGCUUGCCUAAAUUCUCUUUCUCCUCUAGAUUUUUCCUGACAUUUUCAAGCUCUCUCAGCACAUCAAUGCAUGCAAAGUUAUGAUCAGGAAUGGCAACUCCCAUAUUGGACACUCUACUAAUUAAUUCAGCAUCAGACAUAAUGGCAAAAGAACUUUUACGAGCAUUAUGAAAGUUACCUUCCAGAUUUUUCUUGCUUGCCAUCUUCUCAGCUUUGGCCAUUACAUGUUCCUGCAUCCCCUGAGCAUUAUGUUUGCUGAGUCUGGGUAGAUCUUCAGGGACUAGUGGAGGAGUGAGAAUCAUUUCGUCGUCGCAAUCAGAAGUAGGAAACUGUACCACAUAAUCCUUCGAAAUCUUCAUCCCAGGAUCCACCUCCCCUUCCAGCUCCAUGACUUGUGAGGAGUUCAUUACCACCUUUGCAUAGGAUAAAAUGUGUUGCUUAACAGGAAACUUAGUCACCUGCACGCUCUGUCCUGGGGUGUCACGCUCAACAGGAGUAUGUCUCAUAGUAGUGACCACAGGGACCAGCCAGCCUGACGUAUUUUGUUGCCCUUUUCGAGCAUCUUCUUCAUGAUCCCUGGCCAUGGAUUCAAUCAACAGAGAGUUGUCGUCGCUCUCAGACGACGAUGAGCUUUCAUUUUCCUGUGAUAGCAAACGACAGGUUUUGCCACCACGGAAGGAAGUGCCAGGAUUUUCAGAAACAGGGGCUUCUAGCUGUUCAGCAGCCAGAUCGUGAUCAACCCUUUUGCGUUUGGGUGUUUGAUCAGUUUUGUUAACAUUGUCAUUUUGCACAGCAAUCCCUUUGCCUUCCUCCACAGGGUUCCUCACCAAGAUCUCUUCAACCUCGUAAGUGAACUUGUAAAAACGUCCCCCUAACAUCCCCUCGGCCGUGGCAGGCAGCUGAUCCACAAAUCUACAACCGAUUUUGGCCCUAACGGAGGUGGGACGGUUUAAAGUGGACAUGUCAACUUCCAGAGUGACCCCAACAAGACCUCCAACAUAAGCCACAGUUUUAUCAUUGCGUUUGUUAGGUGGGAUUCCCAAUUCUGACCCAGGCCACCUCAAGUAGCCCCUCAGCAUCCACAUCUUCCGACCAGGGAGAGAAUUUGACACUCACACAACACUUUUUGAGCUUAAUAAAUUCUACAAACAAAGCACGAUCCACUUCCCUGGGAUUGGGCAUUCUCAUGACAGUUUUUUGUGGGGCAAAGAACCUAGCAGAGCAGCGCCAGCCUUGCCCUACAUAAACACUAAGCUCAUGUUCAAUGUCUUUGGUGGGAGCAGAACCCUCUAUGAUGGUAACGAUAAUAUUGUAUAUACGCUCUCUGGCCUGUCUCUCAAUGUUCGUGUCAGGAAUGAAAUGGAACCCUUGCCCCUUAGAUUGGAAAGCACACAUAACAGGAAGACACUCCCAGGGAAUGAAUUCUUUGCAGAUGAUGUACAAAUGCCCAUUUUUCUUGCAUCUCUCACAAACAGCUUGGGGGCAACUCACAGUAAAAUGACCGGCCAGAUGACAGAUCUGGCAAGCCUCAAGAUGAGGAAUGAUGUUACUAGUGGUUGCAGGAGGAUCAUCAGAUCGGGGGGGCACAUUGUUGUGGGCGACCUGGUCCAUCUUGUUGAUGUUGAUACGAGGAGGAGCCGCAAGCGCUCCCCUCGGCGGAGGCUCUCCCCUGUGAUCAGCCGCGCCGCACUCCUCGUCCCCCCAUCGAUCUCGACGGACGGGGUCCCUGCCCUCCGCUGCCUCAUCCCACUUCUCGAAGCCCGAAUCGCCAGAUCCGGACGCCUUCGUCGAGGACGACUCCCCCACGCCCGUCCCCGUCUUGCGCUUCCAAACGUUGGAGUCACGGCCCCGGCCGCGGCCGCCGCCGCGGUUGAAACGACCAGCCCCUCGGCCAUGGCGACCAGCACCGAAGCCUUCCUCCCUCAUCUCUGGUCUCUGGCUGGUGUGGAUUGGCUUGGGUUUGGAAGGAUGAGGUGUGGAUCCAGCUACCUGCGCAUACGAUCUGCUAUCCCCACGGAUCUUCCCCUCCCACCACGGAAAAGUUUGAGGAAUCCUAAAUCUGGCUUCUCGCGGUGCGUCCCAGAAGUGGGCGAGGCACUCGUCAAGAUCCAAAAUGGGGGAAGGGGGCUCGGGUUCACGAUUUAUACCAGCAACGCCCACCGAAACCCUAGGUUCGCUCGAUCCAUGGCGGUCGGAUCCCGCCUCCACCACGUGGCGAGCAUCAACCGCGUGCUGAGUCGGCCCACGCCCCAGCAGGCCUGCCCCAUCGGUCAGGGGCGGCGGACGUGGCCGUGCACCGCGCUGCACCACAUCUACGUUACCGUGAAUCGCACCGAUCGACUCAUGCGACCGAAAGGAAGGGACCCGCCGGGGAUCGGCUGCCGCGGCGAUCACCGGAGCCCUAUCACAAACCCUAGCAAAGUGGCAAGGAAAGGAGACGAACCCGCCGAUGUCGAUCGAAUCCCCGACACGAAGAAAUCUCGCAUCGAUCGUGACGCCGAACUCAUCGAGAAGCACGAGUCGGAGCGCGUCCUUCCUGAGCCAGACCGCGCCAUCGGAUAAGGAGAUCCGUCGCGCAGUCGCAAAAUCUGCCGCAUAUAGAACCGACUAUUGCUCGUCGGCGUCGUCCUCCGGGGCGGCGUCGUCCUUCGCUCCCGACCCACUAGCACCGUCCUGUCUCAUGACCCGCUACCCAGUCUUCUUUUACUUGAAUACCCGCCGAGAGGAGCCCGAGGUCGCCGGCGACGCCCACUCCUGGCUGCUCAUCGGAGGGGAAGGAAGAAAGGUUGCCGACAGUGCCCAGGCGGGCUCUGCUCUGAGCCGGAGGAGAGCACCGGAGAGAUGAGUCAAUGAGAAGCAAUUCAACCACACGAUCACGCACCCGACGAACGCCGGAUGUCGGAGAACGAAGGAGUCUCCGUCAUCUAAAUGUGAGAUUUUUUUUUGAACAUUCUGGAAAAUAUAUUUGUGAAAAGGGAGCAGGUGCUCGCGAGCACCAUCAAUUCAGGAUUAUCAGUAUGGCACCACACAUAUUCGAUAUUGAGGAAGGCAAUUGCAACAAGACCACGCCUGUUCGGCAAAUUGGCACUGGUGAAGCUGGCAACGCGGUUUCCAUGCUUGAUCGAUCGCCAGCACAAGCUAGUAUUCCCCCAUGAUUUGGGAGCAUUUUGUUGGUAUCCAAUGCAUCAUCAAUCAGCAAGCGAUCGAUCGGGCGACAGGACGGGAGAUGACAAACGAACAAGAAUGGGUCUCAGUUUAGGAUCGUGAUUUUUGCAUCUAAUAAUUGCUUAUCCAUGUAUCCAUGUGUCCGUACGUCCACAUAUUAUGUUCCAUAAACUUCUACUCCUACCUAGUCGCGAGUGGUGUCCAACCAAUGGCCUGGCUGGUCGAGACGUGACGCGGAUAGAUGUUUGGAUGCAUGCACCCCAUGCGUAUGAACACGACGACGGCAACUUCCACUAGUAUAAGCGUAUGAACCCUCCCCAUACCGAUGAAAACGAGAAGGAUUCCUGCUCAAACCGCGUCAGGAGGAGCACAUAUGUAUGGUCAGUUAUUUUUUUGUAUAUAUAAAAAAGAAUCUUCUAAGAUAGUACAAUAUGUUAUACGUACAAUGCAUGCAUGUAUGGUCAGAUCUUAAAAGAAAAGCACAAAAUCUUCUUACAUAUGCAUAUGCAUGGCCUUAUGCGAUCUGUUCGGCGAGAGGCGCCUUUUCCAGUUCGUCCGCAUGCGCGCGUACGUUGGUUCGGCCGCGCGCGUCCCGCCAUGCACAUAUCCUGGCUCUGGCUGCAUGCUCUGCCUUGCGGCGACGUUGUCAACGGAUGGGACGGUGCGUGCGUGGCCGAACGGAAUGGUUUGUCUUCGCGCGCGUGCUAGCUGCAUGGGGUCAAAACGGGCGAUGCGAUGACGCACCCGUGUACGAACGUACGUACGCGCUAGUGCAAGUUAGGCGAUUGAUUGCACAGUGUUAUACUCCACUCACCGGUGCACUGCGUUCUAGGGUUGACGAGUCGAGCAAAUGACCCAGGCGAGCCUUCUUCUACGGUGCUUCCAACCCUACUUUUUUGAGGGGAAUUUUAGGCGCACAGCUUGUCUUGGAGCUGCUGGUGUAAGUAACAGCAGCCACGCACACAAACGGAGCUUGUCAAGAGCCGCCGGAAAUGUGCUUGUUCCUUCCCAACGGAUUCACGGCGACGUGCGUUUUGUUUGGUUCUAGGGUUAGGGUAGGAACUUUCCUUGUGGACCGGCCUGGCCUUGCUGGCUGCUACCGAAUGAGCAUCGGCAUCGGUCGCUCGACCGGGCCGGUGUGCCUGUCGUUGAACGUCUGUGGAGUAUCACAGUCAAAAGAACUGUUUGGGUUGGGGACCUCGCACAGUCGUUCUAGACGAAGUUAGAGAUUCUUGGUCUGCUUCUACAGUACCAUUAUGAUCAAGGCAAACAGCAUAUCGCGAUUAGUUACGCGUUCAUAAGACAUGACAUCACCGGAAACACUGCUCAUUUUGCCACUUGAACUAACUGUGCAUGCAUGUUUGCUAGAGUACGUAUCUAAGGAAACGGCCUCAUUAGACAGGUUAGGAGGGUCCACCAGUCAGUCGGGACAUCCCCGUGCGCCAUGUUUCCAUGGCUCCACGUACCACAAGGUCCAUCCUGUCCACGCCCGGAGAAUGAGAUGAGACGCGUGAACAGGUUGAUGGCGUCUUGCUGGCCUCACGGUGACGUCUCAAAUGGCCAGCUCCACUUGCCAGUCAGAUUCCAUGCUGUCGAUCGCCAGCCAGGCUGCCACGGCGACUCGUCCAUGGAAGACAGAUGGUUCCGCACAAAGUUUCACGCAGGUCACUAGCUUCUACAGCUACUACUACACGCCAACAUGCAGUUACUACCACAUUGUCGUUAACGGCUCUUCCUUUCUCACGUCGGACGACGACGCGGCAAAAUUGACACGAGUAGACUGCAAGAGCUAAUUUCUAGUCAUUUGGAGCUUAGGAUCCAUUAUUUAUUUACAAUUGGGUACUACUAACCCCAUGCAAAUCAAAACCAUGUCUCACGAAAAGGUUCAGUUCAUAUAUAAAGUAGGAAAUUUCGCGUGAGAUUUAGUAGGAGGAUCUAAAAAUGUUGUACUACCACGGUCACUCGUCUUAUUUAUUUUUUACAAACGAUGGAUUUUAUUGACUCAAGCUGACGCAUCAAGUGUGAAAAUGCACAUGGGCAUGCGAGUGCAGGGCACUCACCUGCCAAGUCCGGUUGCCCGCUCAUUUUGCCGCGCUAUUCACGCAGUAGUUCAAUCCCGCACGAGGCACAGUGAAAAAGACUCAAAAAAAGUAUCAACAAUGAAAUUUACAAUUUUUGCAUCUAAACCUGCCAAGUUUCAACCAGUUUAAGAGAUAUAAUUUCUCGUAGACACAAAAUAAUUGUUUUUAUCUGUCGCUCAUACUAAGUUUCAUAUUUCUUUAAAGUCACCAAAAUAUAUUCAACAUGGAUCUUGUUUGAAGCGCUGGCCACGAGAAACGAAUAUGAAUACAUAACUUGAUUUGAAUUUUUUGUUUAAAAGAUAUAAAACUUUGAAAAUCGAAAGCCAAAAUAAAAAGCGGGCAUCAUGGACAUGCGCACCCCCGCACAUGAUUGCCACAAAUCCUCUCCCGCAUCAAGUGGACACAAGCAUAAUGAACCACACCCGACUUCUGCAUAAUUAAGAUAUACAACAAACAUCAACACACAUACGCACAAAUUAUAAACAAUUCGGCAACUAGCAAAAUCAUACAAGAUCAAAAACUAUGCCUAGGCAAUGAGAAAACCAUGAAGCGAUAGAAACAUCGAUUGUCAAACUACGGCAACGACCAUAUCCAUGCCAGCCAUUUCUUGACACCACAAGAACAAUGAGAUUAUUCAAUAACAACGCCUUCAAGAAGAGGACUACACUCAAGCGUUGUCGUCACUGGAUCAAACCAUCAAAAUUUAGAUUCUAGGUUUUCACCCUGAAGAGCAAGAUCGAGCAUAUCCGAGCAAUGCCUUCAAUAAGGUAACAACGCAAAAAUACCACCAUUGAUAGGUAUAACCAACUCAGGUCAGACCUAGGGUUUUCACUCUAGAGCACGAGGUCUUGUACUCGUGAAGCACCACCAAGUUGGAAUCAAUCAUGUGUUAUCUCCACAAAUUUUCCGUGAUCUCAGCAACUACACGUGUUAGGCUAAAAAUCAGAGCACCGCUCCUGCACCGCCAUAUUCUUGGCGUCAAGUCGUUGUCCAUAGAUUGCAUCUCAUCGUCGAAAACAAACGGGCCAGAGUGAGAGUCGCCAAAAUCAACAACGAAGCUUUCUGGAUGCAUUCCACAACCUCACCAAUACGAGCCACUACUAGUAGCCAUCAGAUCUGGAGAGAGAAACCCCACAAAGACCCCUCGGUGGCCAUUGCAUUCCACAAUUCGAGAGGAUGCCGAACGCCAUCAUAGGAGGUGUUUAUGCCCCCAGAUUGUCAUGAAGGCAGCCUCCACCAUCGUAGAGCCCACGUCGCGUUAGCCUCGCGUAACCUCAACGAGGGGAUCCACGUGAGUUAGACCACGCCGGCACUACGACCUUAGAUGCCCAUAUGCAACCCUCGUGGCAAUUCAACGACGGAGGACGGGUCCCUUCCGUCCGCCUCAUGUGACACUGCAACCCUCCAUGGGCUCCUUCAUUGCGGAGAUGAGGAAUGCUGAUGAUUUGUCACUCUUGUACGCGUCCAUUGUUUCUGCUGAAGGGAUCGAGGAGGAUAAAAUGGGGAAAAAGAUUUGCCACUAAGGAACCAUGGAGGAUGCAGGGACUGUUGGGAAACGUAGCAUGCAAUUUCAAAAAAAUUCCUACGCCCACGUAAGAUCUAUCUAGGAAAUGCAUAGAAACGAGAGGGGGAUAGUGUGUCCACGUACCCUCAUAGACCGAAAGCGGAAGCGCUUGCUAACGUGGUUGAUGUAGUCGAACUUCUUCUCAUUCCGACCGAUCAAGCACCGAACGUACGACACCUCUGAGUUCUACACACGUUCAACUCGAUGACGUCCCUCGAACUAUUGAUCCAGCAAAGUGUCGAGGGAGAGUUGCGUCAGCACGACAGCGUGGUGACGAUGAUGGUGAAGUGAUUCACGCAGGGCUUCGCUUAAGCACUAUGUGAAUAUGACCGGAGACAUAAACUGUGGAGGGGGGCGCCGCACACGGCUAGGAAUCAAUGAUGUCUGUUCUAGCGGUGCCCCCCCACAUAUAUAUAGGUGGGAGAGGGAGAGGGGCAGCAAGUGGCGCCCCAAGUAGGAGUAAUCCUACUUGGGUGCCUCCCACAAGUCGGCCUUCCCCCUUCCAUAAGUGUCGGAGGGGGAAGGAAAGAGAGGGGGGAGAGAAGGAAAGGGGGAGGCCGAAUCCUCCCUUUCCCUUUUCCCUUCCCCUCCUUCCUUCGCCUCCUAUUUCGGCCUAUAUGGGGGCGCACCAGCCCACCAGGGGCUGGUCUAUCCUUCUCUUGGCCCAUAAGGCCCAUAUCUUUGCCGGGGGUGCCCGGAACCCCUUUCCGGUGACCCGAUACGUACCCGGUACCCCCGAAACACUUCCGGUGUCCGAAUACGAUCGUCCUAUAUAUGAAUCUUUACCUCUCGACCAUUUCGAGACUCCUCGUCAUGUCCGUGAUCUCAUCGGGGACUCCGAACAAUAUUCGUUGACCAAAUCACAUAACUCAUACAAUACAAAUCAUCAUCGAAUGUUAAGCGUGCGGACCCUAUGGGUUCGAGAACUAUGUGGACAUGACCGAUACACCUCUCCGGUCAAUAACCAAUACCAGAACCUGGAUGGUCAUAUUGUCUCCCACAUAUUCUACGAAGAUCUUUAUCGGUCGAACCGUUAUGACAACAUACGUUAUUCCAUUUGUCAUCGGUAUGUUACUUGCCCGAGAUUCGAUCGUUGGUAUCUUCAUACCUAGUUCAAUCUCGUUACCGGCAAGUCUCUUUACUUGUGCUGUAAUGCAUCAUCCCGCAACUAACUCAUUAGUCACAUUGCUUGCAAGGCUUCUUAUGAUGUGCAUUAUUGAGAGGCCCCAGAGAUACCUCUCCGAUACUCGGAGUGACAAAUCCUAAUCUCGAUCAAUGCCAACCCAACAAACACCUUCGAAGAUACCUGUAGAGCAUCUUUAUAAUCACCCAGUUAUGUUGUGACCUUUGAUAGCACACAAGGCAUUCCUCCAAUAUCCGAGAGUUGCAUAAUCUCAUAGUCGAAGGAAUAUGUAUUUGACAUGAAGAAAGCAAUAUCAAUAAAACUGAACGAUCAUAAUGCUAAGCUAACGAAUGAGUCUUGUACAUCACAUCAUUCUACUAAUGAUGUGAUCCCGUUCAUGAAAUGACAACACAUGUCUAUAAUUAGGAAACUUAACCAUCUUUGAUUAACGAGCUAGUCUAGUAGAGGCUUACUAGCGACACAAUAUUUUGUCUAUGCAUUCACACAUGUAUCAAGUUUCCGGUUAAUACAAUUCUAGAAUGAAUAAUAAAAAUUUAUCAUGAAAUAAGGAAAUAUAAAAUAACAACUUUAUUAUUGUUUCUAGGGCAUAUUUUCUUUAGGGACAAAGGGAAGAACGCCCGCUGCCAAUGUCGGUUGCCCGAGGCGCCGACCAGCAGCGCAUGGCGCCGAGGAGGGAAGGGAUGGGGAAGGUGAGGGAGUCCUGGAUUAGGGGGUAUCCGGACAGCUGGACUAUAUACAUCGUCCGGACUAUCGAAGCGUGAAGAUACAAGACUCAAGACUUCGGCCCGUGUCCGGAUGGGACUCUCCUUUGCGUGGAAGACAAGCUUGGCGAUCCGGAUAUUGUGUUUACUUCCUUGUAACCGACUCGAUGAAAACCCUAGCCCUCUCCGGAAUCUAUAUAAACCGGAGAGGAUGGUCCUUAGAUGGCCGAUCACAAUUACAAACGUACCAUCAUAGGCUAGCUCUUAGGGUUUAGCCUCUAUGAUCUCGUGGUAGAUCUACUCUUGUACUACUCAUAUCUUCAAUAUUAAUCAAGCAUGAAGUAGGGUUUUACCUCCAUCGAGAGGGCCCGAACCUGGGUAAACAUUGUGUCCCUUGCUUCCUAUUACCAUCAGCCUGAGACGCACAGAUCGGGACCCCCUACCCGAGAUCUGCCGGUUUUGACACCGACAUUGGUGCUUUCAUUGAGAGUUCCUCUGUGUCAUCGCUGUAAGGCUCGAUGGCUCGUCUCGUUGUCAAGGACGACAUCACCUCGGGAGGAACGCUGGCUGUAGGCCAGAUCCUUCGACUUGGCGGCUUCAUUAUGGCCGCCCCACUGGCUGUCACGCCAACGGUGGCCUCUCGGGUCAUCACGCAUGACCUUCGCAUCAAUUCGGAGCUUGCCGAACAGAUGGAUUCGGUAGAACUCUCCUCUCUUAACGAGCUCCUGGAUCGCAUCACCGCUUUGGGAGUCGCUACAGACUAUGACCGGAUUGGGCUUAAACUCGACCAGAGGGACAUUAAAUCCCCGCCGGCCACCCAUGAGAUAGCGGUAGUGGAGGAACCACACAUGGGUCACCCCUCAACUUUGAGGACGAAUUAUGUCCGGAUCACUGAACUCAGUAAACCGAACACCCAUCCAAAGGAAGACAUGACCCGAGUCCCGGACUUAGAGCCGGGCAUUGGGCCGAAGAGAUCGGGUGACACUCCGGACCUCAAACUGUCGGGCUCAGAACCUUCCGCGCCCCCGGGUGUCAGAUCGGAUCAAGACCUGGAUUCGGCCAAUGACACUCGCUCGGACUUAAACUGUCUCUCCCGCGUCAGGCAAGAGUCCCUGGAGACGGUGCACCAUUAUUGGGCCAGAUUCCUCCUUGUGCUUAACAAGGUCAAGGACUGCCACGAGGAGGACGCGGUCUCACUUUUCUGCAAAAACUGCGCAAACAAAGGACUCCUUAAUGCUAUAAGCCGCCGUGACAUAGCACACUUUGCGGACUUAGCGACCAUAGUACAGAAGUACUGUGUGAUGGAAAGCGCCUGGAAAACCCAAACAUAAUUUUGGAUAGUACGGCCCUCACCAGAACCUUGGUCCGAACUAAACGGCCGAACUCUCGUAAGUCGACCAAUUCAAUUCCCAAGAAACCAAAACCCGCCCCAGGGCGUGGAACCGUAUUGGAAGGAUGUCUCAAUGGGCCAUGCAAGCUUCACAGUACGCCGGAUGCAACACCAUACCAUAGCCUUAGGGCAUGUUGGAUACUCUAGCAGGUAGCUAAGAGUGGCGAGGAUCUCCUCGAGAGCCAUAAAGCCGAACAGCAUCCCGCCCAGGAACACAAUACGGUACUAACAGUCUUCGAGACUUUCGCCUCAAACAAUAGGCGCAAGCGAGCCCAUCGAAGCUCUGCUGAAAUCUGCCGUGUGGCAAAAGUAAAUCCGUGGAACGACACUGCUAUAACUUUCAAUGCCAGUGACGAGCCCCAAUUCCGGAUCGCCGGGCACCAGCCGCUUUGGUCCUUAGUCCAAUUGUAGAUGGCUUUCGGCUCACACUACAAAAAAAA